UGUGCUGUUUUGCCACAGAUCAGAUCACUGUAUCACCGGCUUGGCUUACUACCCCAAUAGCAUCUGGCUCACAACUGCCAUGGCCAGGGAAGACCCCAGAGUGUGAAUCACCUCCAACACCCCUACCUGCAAGCCCAGAAGUUCACCAAUGACCUGUGGGAGUCUGUGGAAGAAGUGUGGGAGAUGGAGAAGCAAUGGAUAGAACCACAGGGAGGAGGUUUCAUCCCUCAUGUCUCCUGGAUUCCCCAGGCCACCUGGGCUCCUGACUUGGCCUUUCUGUCUCUGACCGCAGGAGAGGUGCCUCUUGUCCUUUCUGGCCUCCACAGCCACUUGGAGGGACAGCAAUACCAGGACCUAUCUAGGACUCCACAUUGUGUGCAGUGGCGGGGACACCGCUGUCUCCUCCCAUCUGUGGCGGUCCGCUGUCUACCAGGAACACUG
rnacentral:lncRNA from 1 species